CAAUAGCGUAUAUUAAAGUUGUUGCAGUUAAAAAGCUCGUAGUUGGAUUUCUGGUGGGAGCGAUCGGUCUGGCGCUUAGCGCGAGUACUUGCAUCGUCUCCGGCCAUCCUGGGGGAGAGUCUGUCUGGCAUUAAGUUGUCGGGCAGAGGAUCCUCAUCGUUUACUGUGAAAAAAUUAGAGUGUUCAAAGCAGGCUUAUGCCGUUGAAUAUAUUAGCAUGGAAUAAUAAGAUAGGACUUUGGUACUAUUUUGUUGGUUUGCGCACCAAAGUAAUGAUUAAUAGGGACAGUUGGGGGUAUUCGUAUUCCGUUGUCAGAGGUGAAAUUCUUGGAUUUACGGAAGACGAACUACUGCGAAAGCAUUUACCAAGGAUGUUUUCAUUAA
rnacentral:rRNA from 1 species